rnacentral:tRNA from 1 species
GCCUGGGUAGCUCAGUUGGUUAGAACAUGGUGCUGUUAAUGCCAAGGUUGCAGGUUUGAUCCCCGUAUGGGACA